rnacentral:rRNA from 1 species
GACGAACGCUGGCGGCGUGCUUAACACAUGCAAGUCGAACGGAAAGGCCCUGCUUUUGUGGGGUGCUCGAGUGGCGAACGGGUGAGUAACACGUGAGUAACCUGCCCUUGACUUUGGGAUAACUUCAGGAAACUGGGGCUAAUACCGGAUAGGAGCUCCUGCUGCAUGGUGGGGGUUGGAAAGUUUCGGCGGUUGGGGAUGGACUCGCGGCUUAUCAGCUUGUUGGUGGGGUAGUGGCUUACCAAGGCUUUGACGGGUAGCCGGCCUGAGAGGGUGACCGGCCACAUUGGGACUGAGGUACGGCCCAGACUCCUACGGGAGGCAGCAGUGGGGAAUAUUGCACAAUGGGCGGAAGCCUGAUGCAGCAACGCCGGGGGCGGGAUGACGGCCUUCGGGUUGGAAACCGCUUUCGCCUGGGACGAAGCGUGAGUGACGGUAAUGGGUAAAGAAGCACCGGCUAACUACGUG